rnacentral:rRNA from 1 species
GACAGAGGUCCCGAGCGUUAGGCGGAAUCACUGGGCUUAAAGGGUGCGUAGGCGGCGCGGAAAGUUGGGUGUGAAAUCCCUCGGCUCAACCGAGGAACUGCGCCCAAAACUACCGUGCUCGAGGGAGAUAGAGGUGAGCGGAACUUAGGGUGGAGCGGUGAAAUGCGUUGAUAUCCUAAGGAACACCGGUGGCGAAAGCGGCUCACUGGAUCUCUUCUGACGCUGAGGCACGAAAGCUAGGGUAGCGAACGGG